GAUGAAGAACGUAGCAAAAUGCGAUAAUUAAUGUGAAUUGCAGAAUUCCGUGAAUCAUCGAGUCUUUGAACGCACAUUGCGCCUCAUGGCAUUCCGUGAGGCAUGCCCAUCUCAGCGUUAGAAAAUAUUCUCAAAUUUUAGUUUUGUGCUAAAAUUUGGAUCAUGUCAAGGAAGCUAUUACUAUUAUUGUGAUCGCUCUUUGGAAAUUGAUAGGUCUUUGAGUUGCUACUCAUAGAACGUGAUGAAUCUUUCUUCGUUCUAUUGUAAUUCACUCUGGUAGUCCUAAAACUUGUAUGCCUGUGGCAUAUCUUGUAAUUUGACCUGAGAUUGGGUAGGGAUACCCGCUGAACUUAAGCAUAUCAAUAAGCGGAGGA
rnacentral:misc_RNA from 1 species